GAUGAAGAACGUAGCGAAAUGCGAUAAGUAAUGUGAAUUGCAGAAUUCAGUGAAUCAUCGAAUCUUUGAACGCACAUUGCGCCCGCCAGUAUUCUGGCGGGCAUGCCUGUCUGAGCGUCAUUUCAACCCUCAUGCCCCUAGGGCGUGGUGUUGGGGAUCGGCCAAAGCCCGCGGGGGACGGCCGGCCCCUAAAUCUAGUGGCGGACCCGUCGUGGCCUCCUCUGCGAAGUAGUGAUAUUCCGCCUCGGAGAGCGAUGAGCCCCUGCCGUUAAACCCCCAACUUUCCAAGGUUGACCUCAGAUCAGGUAGGAAUACCCGCUGAACUUAAGCAUAUCAAUAAGCGGAGGA
rnacentral:misc_RNA from 1 species